rnacentral:rRNA from 1 species
AUGUUUCCCCCCUUAACCGGCAUCACCUCAUACCACGUCAGGUCACGCCUAGCAUCGUUACUUGUCACAUGUCAUGCAUCGAUAUGCAUCUGUUUACAUGGUAUUCAUUGUUUCUUCCCCCUCUUCUCUCCGGUAGACUACGAGACCGACACUGCUGCUGCCCAGUUCGACUACGGAGCUGACGACCUCUCUCUCUUGCCAGAGCAACCAGAUGCUGGAGCCCAGGAGCCAGACGCCACCGUCGAUGACGACUACUACACUGGAGGUGCCUACUACUACGUGCAGCCCGCUGACGACGACCGGGAGUAG